UGUAGGCUGCCGAUCAGGCACCAUUCCUUGCGGAAUGCCAUUUCCAGCCUUUUUCUAAUCCGAAUUAUCACCUUUAUUUUCCCUCUCUAAUUUCUGCCUUGGAUAAACAUAGAAAAUAGGUGCAGGAGUAGGCCAUUCGGCCCUUC